CUUUGCGCCGGGAGACUGCACUGCUCAUGCCAGAGACCCGCUGAAAGGUCACCCCAGAAUGGCUGUGUUGGGAGGGGCUUGCUUAGCAGUGUGGGUCCUGAACUGUGAUCUUUAACUCUCCACUUUGGGGGGUAAAAGCAAGAGUAAAGAAUUCCAAAGGAGCCCCAAAUUCAGAUUUUUGGAAUGAUAAUAUAACCAGAAGUUUUUUUUUUCCUCUCUCUGAAUUACUGUAAACAGCAAGGAGACACAGCCCAUGCAGUUCUUUUAAAUAAGCAGUGAGAAGCCCCUGUGUCUUCCUGGAGGUUUGUAAGCAGAUGUUGCUGAGCCUGCAUCAGACUGGGUUUCUACAUCAUUUAAUCACUUGUCUUGACAUAUCACUUCCGGACACUGCUUGAACCUGUGCAGAAUGAGUUGAGGAGUUUUUUCUGCUACAAAUCCAAGUCCUUGCACAGGCUGAUUUGUUGUACUUAUGAACUAUAUUCCAUGGUAUGUUCCCUUUAUUGUCAACUUCAUACAAGCUAGAGUUAUCAGGAAAGAGGAAAACCUCAAAUGAGAAAAUUCUUCCAUCUGCUUGACCCAUAGGUUCCCGCCUUGAGUUCCUGUCCUGACUUCCCUUCACGAUAGUCUGAAAGCUGUAAGAUCAAAUAAACCCUUUCCUGAGUUGAUUUUGGUCCUGGUCUUCAUUCAGAUCAAUACAAACCUUAGAUGCCACAUACCAGCAUGUGAUGAAGACCAGGGGUCCUCUAAGAAGACCAUGAGCUGGGAUUGCCCAAUCUUAAAGUUUUGUCCUCCAAAACUGGAGAUUCAUCUGGCGAGUCUGAAUGUCUGCUGUCUGGUACUUGGUCAGAGGGUGACUCAAAGAGGAGGAUCAGCUUGGACUAAAGAGUAGAGCCAUCUACAUCUUCUUGUGGCUUGGAUCUCAAAGGGAUUGUUGUAAAACAAAUGAUUUCAGAUGAUCAUAUGGAAGUUGUGUGACAUUGCUUCCAUGCCUCAGC
rnacentral:lncRNA from 1 species